rnacentral:rRNA from 1 species
AUUGAACGCUGGCGGCAGGCUUAACACAUGCAAGUCGAGCGGAGAUGAGGUGCUUGCACCUUAUCUUAGCGGCGGACGGGUGAGUAAUGCUUAGGAAUCUGCCUAUUAGUGGGGGACAACAUUCCGAAAGGAAUGCUAAUACCGCAUACGUCCUACGGGAGAAAGCAGGGGAUCUUCGGACCUUGCGCUAAUAGAUGAGCCUAAGUCGGAUUAGCUAGUUGGUGGGGUAAAGGCCUACCAAGGCGACGAUCUGUAGCGGGUCGGAGAGGAUGAUCCGCCACACUGGGACUGAGACAAGGCCCAGACUCCUACGGGAGGCAGCAGUGGGGAAUAUUGGACAAUGGGGGAAACCCUGAUCCAGCCAUGCCGCGUGUGUGAAGAAGGCCUUAUGGUUGUAAAGCACUUUAAGCGAGGAGGAGGCUACUGAGACUAAUACUCUUGGAUAGUGGACGUUACUCGCAGAAUAAGCACCGGCUAACUCUGUGCCAGCCGCCGCAGUAAGAC